UGAACCCAGGGGGGUGGAGUUUGCAGUGAGCCAAGAUUGUGCCACUGCACUCUAUCCUGGGUGACAGAGUGAGACUCUGUCUCCCAAAAAAAAAGAAAAGUCUGUAUUUUUGGAGACCCCCCCACCAGGUGCUAAGGGAUAAUGAACUGAAGAUGGCAAAAUGAGGAGGGCAACCAACCAAGAGACCAUUCAACAAUGGCAGUAGAAAUAGUGAAAGGUAGGUGGACUGACCCCUGAGACUAAUAUAUUGGGGUUGUAAAUAUUUGCAUGAUUAUAAAACUUCAAAAUGAGUGAGGUGUUGCCUGGCAUCUGACCAGUUUGUUUCUGUGACCCAGCAGGGCUCUCAAAGUGAAUUGCAAGUUCAAAGCCCAAUUUUCUAGAAGAAAAAGACUGUUCAUUUGAAGUGCUGUAAAUGAUUUGGUAUUUACAAUUCUAAAUAUUGGCCAGGCGUGGUGGCUUUUGCCUGUAAUCCCAGCACUCUGGGAGGCCGAGGUGGGCAGAUAACCUGAGGUCAGGAGUUCAAGACUAGCCUGGCCAACAUGGCGAAACCCCGUCUCUACUAAAAAUACAAAAAUUAGCUGGGUGUGGUGACAGGUGCCUGUAAUCCCAGCUACUUGGGAAGCUGAGGCACAAGAAUCACUUGAACACAGGAGAGGGAGGGUGAAGCGGGCUGAAAUCACUCCACUGUACUCCAGCCUGGGUGACAGAGAGAGACUCUGUCUCAAAAAAAAAAAAAAAAAAAAAAAUCUAAAUCUAAAUAUCCAAUUUAAUAGCUUGCAAGGGCAGUAAAGCCUAAGAAACAGGUAACUACUAAUUUGGGGGUCAAGUGAGACAGUGAGAAUCAAUAACUAAUAAUUACAUAGGUGAUUUGUAAGCUGCCAUGGGAGGAGCUGACAAACAUUAUCUUCGCUUUGGGUAAGUAAGGGAGGUUGGGUGGCACAAGCAAAGACCCAGCCAAGCUAGAGUCUGGACAGCAAGUUUGGACUUCACGCUUCCUCUUCCAAAAAAUGAGAAUAACAAUUUGUAAAGAUCAAUUGAGUUAAUAAAGUGCCUGGCCCUCAGUGGUAAUUAUUAUUAUUUUGUUAUUGUUCUUGUUUGUUUUUUUGAGAUGGAGUCUUGCUCUGUUGCCCAUGCUGGAGUGCGGUGACGUAAUCUCGGCUCACUGCAAGCUCCACCUCCCAGGUUCAGGCAAUUCUCCCUGCCUCAGCCUCCCAAGUAG
rnacentral:lncRNA from 1 species